rnacentral:rRNA from 1 species
GCUUUUGUACACACCGCCCGUCGCUACUACCGAUUGAAUGAUUUAGUGAGGUCUUUGGACUGGAACGCAGCAUCGACUCUGUCGUUGCCGAUGCUACUGGAAAGAUGUCCAAACUUGAUCAGUUACAGGAGGUAAAAUUCGUAAGAAGGUUUCCGUAGGUAAACCUGCGGAAGGAUCAUUA